UGCGCCGCAGAGUUGUCAACAACGGCGACUCCCGACAAGAAACGCGCGUGAACUUUAACACAACCCCACCAGCCUCAGCGGUCAAAACGUUUCAGAUCAAAACAACCGCAGCACCUUAACCCACUGCUCCCGCAGCCGCUGUGCGAAAUCAGCAAAGGUCUUAUCCGCCGUAUUACAGCCAGAUCUCAUGUUUACCCAUAGCGUGCGGUCACACACCAUUCCUAGAAAUCCCGCCGGAGCCUGUGCGUAGGCCUCCCGCGGCACGCAGCCGGGUUGGGGGGGGGGGUCCGGGCGACGAUGUCCGAAAGCGGAGAGACUCGGCUGCCGAUGCUUCAGCAGACAAAGGCGGCCCUGAGUCGAUCGUGGGCCUUCGUGUCGCGGCACCUGAGCGUGUCCGAGGCGCACACGGUGGAGUUUUACAGCAGGGAGCUGUGGAGGUCAUACCUGGGAGACGCAGAGCCCCGGGCGAUGCAGCAGCAGCUGCUGCUGAUGCUGCGGCGAGAUUCGAAGGGGACGAAUCUCGGGCAAGCGGAGACUCCGAGUGCACAGGGAAUUGGCGGAGCGAGCUCUGCCGUAAUGGAUAUCGAGCACUUCCUUCGCGAGGCACAGUCCCACACACUCCCUGGCCUGGGCAUCUGCGUGUCAGCGGAUGAAGCCUUCACCAUGUUUGGCGCUGACGGAUCAGUCGGUAUUCCAGCCAGACCUGAGGACUUCAUGAGCACCAAGAAGUCACACGAGGUGGAGCUCAUGUCCAGAAUGGUGGUAACGCUGGCACUGAAAUGCAAUGUAUCACAGGUGAUAGACCUCGGCUCUGGAAAAGGAUACCUAAGCUCCUAUCUCUCCAUGCAGUUUGGCCUGAGGGUGUUUGGCAUCGAUUCAUCUGCCGUCAACACGAGGGGGGCUGCAGAGCGGAACCGCAAACUGGGCAAGUUCUGGAAGGGUUAUAACAAGCGGGCAUCCAAACCGGAGGAAAAAUUUGCUGCCUGCAGCCCAGGGCCCAAUGACAAAUCUAACACUUGCAAACAGCAGACUCGUGGAGCUGUGAUCAAGCUUGAAACGGCCAACGACUUCAGUUCUUCAUCGACCAUUGAAGUAUGCGUGUGUAAACAAGGGACAUUUUGCAAUGAAGGCACCGUUAACGGAUGUAAAGAAACGUCCUCGGAUGACCACACGCAAAGUUAUGAAAAUGGCUUGAGCUUAACAGAAAGUAUGCAAAAUAUGUCUGCUGGACCAAACGUUAAACCUGAAGAAGGGUUUGUAGCUUCGUCAGAAUUAAAUAAUUUUUUUAACAAUCGAGAUGGUGUGGCCUUAAGCAUUGGCACAGAUGUCUCUCCCGAGGGGGACCUCCUCCUAAAGGAACUUACAGAAAUUACGGAAGUGCAAGAUCUCCGUCCGAAAGACCUGAGUGUGGAAGAGAGGGCAAGAAGGAAGCAAGUCAACCUCGAGGCCAAGUCGAGCAAGGAAGGAGGCGUUAACGCACAGACGCUCCUCACCUGCUGGAUCACUCCUGACACGGAGAUUGGGCAGCUCAUUACAGGGAUGGAGACGGGGCUGCUGGUGGGGCUGCACACGUGCGGAGACCUGGCGGCCACCACGUUGCGGCUGUUCUCCGGGAGAGCGGAGCUGCGCGGCGUGUGCAGCGUGGGCUGCUGCUACCACCUGCUGUCCGAGCCACCUCAGCUGCACAGCUCCCCGGCAGCAGACGAUGAAUCGCAGGCAUAUGGGUUUCCCAUGAGUGACCAUCUCAAGUCGCUUCACUGCACAAUUGGAAGGAACGCGCGCAUGUCUGCCUGCCUGGCACCCGAACGAGUUACUUCUGGAAAGGGGGAACCGAAUGACAGAGUGUAACAAUGCAAAGUGACAGUGGCAUCUUCCCCAACAUCAUUUGAUACAGUUGAGUUUUAUUUAUGGGAGUAUCUACAAAGGCCGUAUUUUUGUAAUUCAUUCAAACAUUCUGAUUAUGAGUUAGGAUACAUUUCUAGUGAUAAUCAAUCAUACUUUCCAUUCAGUGGUUUGAUGUAUGGAAUAGUGUAUAAUUGGUAGGGCAUAUAAAUUAGAUGCAAUGCACAUGAUAUUGUACAAUCCAAAGUGACAGUGCAACAUAUGUAAAUGAUCUGCAGCAAACAUUCACGUCAGCAUUAUUGGAUGUGACAGUUGCGUUGAGUGUAACUUUAUCACCUCUUAAAUUGAAUGUAAAAUGAUAGAUGAUAGUUUACAGCAAUCUUGUCAGUGGAAAAUUAAAUGGUUUGUUCCAACUUUGCAAAUUUCAAAUUAACAUCGCAUUAGGAGAGAAUACAGACCAUCAGAUAGUUAUUGAAGAUGCAAAUGCACAUUUGAUCGCAGUGUCACGAUGUACUGCUGAAUCCAACAUUCAGUUUCUGUUCAAUCUGCACAUUAGUCUUUCAUUGCACAUAGCAAAAUGACUCCAGCAGUUAAUGCUUAGAAACCUGUUGUUAAAUUCCUUUACGUGACCAAUACGUGAUUGUAACUGGCAUUGAAAGCAGCUGUCAGCACACCUAAGUAUUUCAUUAUAAAAGCCAGAUGAGGCUAUGUGGGCAACUUAUGCACUUUAACCACUUUUGCUAGACCAUGUUAAGAUGUUUGCAAUUAAUUAUGUGCAUGCUAUUUGCAAACUUUAAUGGGGAAUAAAACCCUACAUUUUGCUAUUUUGUCCAGCUUAUUACAGAAUGUAAUUCAGUAUUUAUUGUAAUAAAAUGUGUUCAGUUCCAUUUUAUUUGGUGACGUGGGUGAGUAACAUUUAGCGAAAGACUGCUUUGCAAGAGAGACCUGCGGAGUACUGUAUUAGAGAUAGCACGGCGUAAGCAUACAGAACCACAGUGAUUCAAAAUACGGAACAACAAUAGUUAGUCAUGAUAAAGUUUUUUCAUUUAGGUUAGAUCGCGUAAAUGUUAAAAAAACUUUAAUAUAAAUAAUAUUGGUCGUGAAAGCCUACAUGUUAAACAAAAAUAAAAAAUACAGAACAACAAUAAUUUAAAAAAUUCAACAUUCAAAGGUAUACAAUUGAGGGCAUCACUUUACAGGACAUGAGGAACAGCAAUGAAACAAAUCUAAGAAUAAAAAUAUUGAGUUAGGCAGAGCAUGCAAAGCACGUGCGCGUAAGUGGGUAUUCUAAAUAAAGUAAGAAGCGUUAAUAGUCUGAGGGGCGCACUUAUUCUUGUCGGCAGUAAAUUGCUCGAUUGUGUGAAAAUAACAUACAGCAAUUGCAGUCUCAAGAAGUUAACAGUAUAUGAUAAAAGAGGAAAAGACAAAUACAGUUUAGUGUUGUGCGUUAUUGUUAAACUAAUUUAUUGUUCCUUUUUUGGCAGUUGCUCACUGAGUCACUGUUCUAUCGAGCAGUGCUGCAGGUGCUCGUUGAAGACCAUUAUGGAAGCCUCAGCAGCACCAAGCGUGUGGGCAAGACGUACGCAAAGUCCACCUCAUUCCUGGACUACACCCGAAAGGCGCUGCAGAAGUUGGAAUUGGAUGACUCAAAG